AUGGGCCGCUUGAUCCUGGACCGAGACCAACUUAAGAAAAUGAUGGCGCUUUUUCUCCUUUUGCUGACCAUGGCCCUGGGUUUGAAGAACGUUCAUUCCCUGGACUGUUACAGGUGCAAUGUCACGACGUACAGUGGGUGCACCUACGUCGUAAACUGCUCUGAAACACAGAAGUUCUGUACAAGAUACACCUCUACUACCACAUCUGGCUUUGUGCUCCAGCAAGGCUGCGCGGAGCGUUGCCCCAUUGUCAGAGGUACUUGGCCGAAGCUAUACACUUUUACCUGCUGCCAGGAGAGUAGGUGCAACGGAGUAGCGGGCAUCGGAAGAUACAGUUCUGCACUAAUCAUGAUCACUGUCCUGAGAGCUCUCUCCUAGAACUGUGUUCCAGUGGCAAGAAAGCACAGUCUCUGCCGAGCCAGGAAGGCGUGGGGGUUUCCAUUUCGCCAACUUCUCACCACUGUGGCUGAGAGAAUCCUGACUCUUGCCAACAAAACGACUCUCGUUUUCCGUUCCUGGGACGCCUUCCGAAUAUUUCCUCCGUAGACGGAACGCGGUAGGAAUGGACGUCCACCGGGGAGUGGUGUAUGCAGACUGCUUUGCAACAGGAGAGUCUCGGAGGCUUUGGUAGAAUCAGGCGACCCAACAGCGAAGAAACCUGAUCACCGUCUGCCUAACGACCUCAAGGUUGGCUCAAGAGGAUACCAAAUAUACAGCUGAGACCUAAUGGUCCAAGGCGGAUGGGAAGACAAUGGCCAGAUGUACGUCUUUCUCCGUAGCAUAAAUCUUUUGGCUUGACCCAUGUCUCCUUCUGUAGAUCGACACGUGUGGUAGUGCCAGAAAAAGAUGGGAGGAGAACAGCAUCCAGUAUUUUCUCCACUGCCAAGGGAGAAAAAAAUGUCAGUCUACUGAGGCAGACAGGCUGGCUUAAGGAAGGGUGAGUUCAACCUAGAACUUCAGUGGAACUCUUUUCAUGAAAGAAAUGCCGUGGGAAGAACUAAGGGUGGGUUUCUUCCAAUAUUUAGAAGGCCCCACGCAAAGAAACAGACUGAUUUUUUUUGUAUGAGAUUAUAAAGAAGAAAGCAGAAUAGAUCUCUUGCCUAUUAUAUAUACGAACGAUAUGAGUAAUAAAUAACAGCAACCGUAAUAAAAACA
rnacentral:lncRNA from 1 species